rnacentral:rRNA from 1 species
CCAAUAGCGUAUAUUUAAGUUGUUGCAGUUAAAAAGCUCGUAGUUGGAUUUUGGGCGUGAGUGAUCGGUCUGCCGUUUUGGUUGAACUGUUCUGCUCUUGCCUUCUUGUCGGGGACGUGUCCUGGCCUUCAUUGGCUGGGGCUCGGAGUCGGCGAUGUUACUUUGAAAAAAUUAGAGUGUUCAAAGCAGGCCUACGCUCUGAAUACAUUAGCAUGGAAUAACGCUAUAGGACUCGGGUCCUAUUGUGUUGGUUUUCAGGACCGGAGUAAUGAUUAAUAGGGACAGUUGGGGGCAUUCGUAUUUCAUUGUCAGAGGUGAAAUUCUUGGAUUUAUGAAAGACGAACUUCUGCGAAAGCAUUUGCCAAGGAUGUUUUCAUUAAUCAAGAACGAAAGUUGGGGGCUCGAAGACGAUCAGAUACCGUCCUAGUCUCAACCAUAAACGAUGCCGACUAGGGAUUGGCAAGCGUUACUUUGAUGACAUUGCCAGCACCUUAUGAGAAAUCAAAGUUUUUGGGUUCCGGGGGGAGUAUGGUCGCAAGGCUGAAACUUAAAGGAAUUGACGGAAGGGCACCACCAGGUGUGGAGCCUGCGGCUUAAUUUGACUCAACACGGGGAAACUUACCAGGUCCAGACAUAGUAAGGAUUGACAGAUUGAGAGCUCUUUCUUGAUUCUAUGGGUGGUG